rnacentral:rRNA from 1 species
CAGUCGCAGCGGUAAUGCGAAGGGUGCAAGCGUUAAUCGGAAUUACUGGGCGUAAAGCGUGCGUAGGCGGUGAGUUAAGUCUGCUGUGAAAUCCCCGGGCUCAACCUGGGAAUGGCAAUGGAUACUGGCAAGCUAGAGUCCGGAAGGGGAGUGUGGAAUUCCUGGUGUAGCGGUGAAAUGCGCAGAUAUCAGGAGGAACACCAAUGGCGAAGGCAGCACUCUGGGACGUGACUGACGCUGAGACGCGAAAGCGUGGGGAGCAAACAGGAUUAGAUACCCCUGUAGUCCCUGUCUCUUAUAC